GCGAGAGUGGCGAAAUUGGCAGACGCGCCAGACUUAGGAUCUGGUGGAUUUUUCCGUGGGGGUUCGAGUCCCCCUUCUCGCA
rnacentral:tRNA from 2 species